UGGAUUGGUAGAGCCGGCCGCUGGCCGGCUGCUCCGGAUUCCAUGGUUGCCGGCCAGCGGCCGGCACUACCAUCAGA
rnacentral:antisense_RNA from 1 species